GAGUUUGAUCGUGGCUCAGGACGAACGCUGGCGGUGUGCUUAAUACAUGCAAGUCGAACGAUGAGGCCCUUCGGGGUACAUCAGUGGCGGACGGCUGAGUAACGCGUAGAUAACGUGCCCUUUACUGGGGGAUAACACCGGGAAACCGGUGCUAAUACCGCAUAAGUCACGCCUUGAAAUAGGUGUGAUUAAAGAUUUAUUGGUAAAGGAUCGGUCUGCGUCUGAUUAGCUUGUUGGUGAGGUAAAGGCUCACCAAGGCAAUGAUCAGUAGUUGGUCUGAGAGGAUGACCAGCCAGAGUGGGACUGAGACACGGCCCACACUUCUACGGAAGGCAGCAGUAGGGAAUUUUGCGCAAUGGGCGAAAGCCUGACGCAGCAACACCGCGUGCGGGAUGAAGGCCUUCGGGUUGUAAACCGCUGUCAGCAGGGAAGUAAUAAUAGACUGUACCUGCAAGGAAGACAUCGGCUAACUACGUGCCAGCAGCCGCGGU
rnacentral:rRNA from 1 species